GGCUGCCUUCUCCCCCGGCUGAGACCCGGGCCAGACUGAGUCCCUAGCGGCCCAUUACCCCGCCGGGCUCGUCCCAGACACCUUUGAUGGCUGCCCUUUGCCCCGUCUGGUCUGAGCGGACAAACAAGGGAAAUUGAGUCUCUGGUCCUGCCUGUGUGCUGGGCUACAUCUGAGCAUGCUGCCAGGCACCCUGAAGCCAGGCCUGAUGCUCCCUCCUGAUCCAGUCCUAACGAUCCUGCCUGAGGCCAGACAGCAGGACAGAUGGCAGCAGCCCCUUGUGUGCCUGAGUUUGUCCACUGGUACAGGACUGUGGGAAACUUGGAAGCCCUAGUUCCAGAUCUGCUUCUGCUGAGCUGAGUGACCUGUUUCACGUGUGCAAGGAGGAGACAGGGCGACGGCUUCCUGCGCCAAGGCAGUCACUGCCCAUGUGUGGAGAACUUGUAAUAGCAGUCAUAGCUCUCAACUUACCAAGUGAUUACUGUGUUCCAGGACCAUGCUAAGGGCUUUACGUGGCUUAUCUCUUUGAGUAACCACAGUAACUUUAUCAGGGAGGUAUUACUAGUCCCAUUUUACAGAUGGGGAAAUUGAGCCUCAAAGAAGUUAAUUGAUUUGCUCACUUUUGGCAGGGAUUUGAAUGCAGGUCUUGUUGUUGUUGUUGUUGUUGUUGUUUGAGACAGAGUCUUGUUCUGUCGCCCAGGUUGGAGUGCAGUGGCUCCAUCUCGGCUCACUGCAAGCUCCGCCUCCCGGGUUCACGCCAUUCUUCUGCCUCAGCCUCCCGAGUAGCUGGAACUACAGGCGCCCGCCACCACGCCCGGCUAAUUUGUUGUAUUUUUAGUAGAGACGGGGUUUCACCGUGUUAGCCAGGAUGGUCUCGAUCUCCUGACCUCGUGAUCUUCCGCCUCGGCCUCCCAAAGUGCUGGGAUUACAGGCGUGAGCCACCACGCCCGGCCUUGAAUGCAGGUCUUAAUUAAUCUGCUCAACUGCCUUCUGGGUCUUUUGGCCACACGGGCCUAGGACAAAA